rnacentral:lncRNA from 1 species
UUAAAGGUUUUCAGUGACUCUGUGACAGAAUUGAAACCAGAACCUAGGUCCUUCUUAUUCCAUAACAGGCCUUUUUCCUCACAUCACUGCUAGAUGUGGAGACAUCUAACAUUGCUCUACAAUAGCACCACACUUUUCUACAGAGAACGAAGAAAAGCAAGACAGGACAAUGGCCCACCUGGGAGCAACACAGAGCCCAGGGAUCCUCCCUCGCCCAGGAAAGCUCCUUCACUGGUGACAUCUCUUGGUUCUGGAAAAUCCAAGGCGACUGGAGACUGGAGCAGACCCCAACCAUACUGCAGCAGCCCUAUGGAAAUGUAGCCACAGUGUUACGUGGGUGCCUAUUCCCAUAUCUCCUCACCAGGCAGGUUCUCCAGGCGGGGGCCUCCAGCCACCCCCUGCCAGAGCUAUCAAGCCAGAACCAACUCAGCAACUCCCUGCACAGAGCCUCCAGGGGCAACUGAUAGCCUCUCAACCAUGCCUCUGCAGUGGAACUGCCCUUGCCACCCUCAGACUAAUGAAUGGGCAAAGACCCUAAGUGCCUUAUCCAUACCUCCAAGCUGUAGUUGACCCAAGGAGAUGAGGCCAGUCCAUCUCCUAUAGGUCCCACACACCCACCACAGCUCAUCAGGGAACCACUGGCUUGAGCCCACAGCACAAACCCUCCAUCUUGGGCUGACUGCACUGAGUGAUUACUGACCUGCAUCUCCCGGGGGUGGAGCCCCUAGGAGACAAGCAAAUGACCCUGGCCACCACUACUACUAAGAUCUCUUCCUCUGCUGCCUCUAAGCUGGGGAAGGAACAUAAACACUGAGAUCUCCCCAGAGCUGCAGUGGGCAGCCCAGGAGUGUCAAGUCAUGAACUACAGCCAGCACUCAAGAAGGAGAGGAACCCACACUUUCAGAGCACUGAGAGGGAACACAGCUGCAACUGUUAGGAAACAUAGGGGAGCCAUACAACUAAGCAAAAUUCUAUCAACUGACCAAGAAUCCCAAUUACCACCUGCUGGCUCACACUCUAAAGCUCCAACACCAAAAAUACCUCACUAACAUACCCCCCUCUGAAACCAGAGACAAGAAGUCAGCUUCAAAUAAAGACCCUAUGCAAAACCUUGGCCCAGUAGAAAAAUCCAGAAAAGAAGUCUAUUGUCUGUACUCAAUCUACACUGCAGUUAAAGGAACACUCACAAUGCAGAGAUGAGAAAGAACCAUUGCAAAAACUCCAGUAACUCAAAUGGCCAGAGUGUCAUACGUCCUCCAUACGACCACACCAGUUCUCCAACAAGAGUUUUUAACCUGGCCAAACUGGCUGGAAUGACAGAAAUUGAAUUCUGAAUAUGGAUAGGAAGAAAAAUAGGAACAAGGAUAUGGCAAAACCAAAUUCAAGGAAAAUAAGAAUUAACAAUAAAGUGAUACAGGAGCGGAAGAACAAAAUAGCUAGUAUAAAAAAAGAAUCUACUGAGUCUGACAGAACUGAAUAACACAAUACAAGAAUUUCACAAUGCAAUCACAAAUAUUAACAGCAGAAUAAACCAAGCUGAGGAAAGAAUCUCAAAACUUGAAGACUGGUUCUCUGAAAUAAGACAGACAGAAAAAAACAAAGAAAAAAGAAUAAAAAGGAAUGAACAAAACCUCUGAGAUGUAUGGGAUUAUGUAAAGAGGCCAAAUCUAUGAAUCACUGGCAUUCCUGAAAGGGAGUGGAAGAAAGAAAAACAACUUGGAAAAUAUAUUUCAGAAUAUCAUCCAUGAAAACUUCCCCAACUUUGUUCCUGAAAUAUUCUACACAAGAAGACCAUCCCAAAGACACAUUAUCAUCAGAUUUUCCAAGGUCAGAAUGAAAGAACGAAUGUUAAAGGCAGCUAGAGAGAAUGGGCAGGUCACCUAAAAAGGGAUCCCCAUCAGGCUAACAGCAGACCUCUCAGCUGGAACCGUACAAGCCAAAGGAGAUUGGGGGCCUAUAUUCAACAUUCUUAAAGAAAAAAACUUCAACCAAUCAUUUCAUAUCCAGCCAAACUAAGCUUCCUUAGUGAAGGAGAAAUAACAUCAUUUUCUGAUAAGCAAAUGUUGAGGGACUUCAUUACCACCAGACCUGCCUUACAAGAGAUCCUGAAAGGAGAACUAAAUAUAGAAAGGAAAGACCACUACCAGCUAAUACAAAAACACACUUAAACACACAGCCAGUGUCACUGUAAAGCAACCACACAAAUAAGCCAACAUAAUGACCAGCCAACAGCACAAUGACAGGAUCCAAUCCACACAUAUAAAUACGAACAUUGAAUGUAAACAGGCUAAAUGCCCCACUUAAAAGGCACAGAGUGUGGGAGCUGCUGUGGCUCAGGCUGGUUGCCCUGGCACUCGGGGAGGUGAGGCUACAAGUUCGAGGCCAGCCUGGUCAACAUUGAUUAAAAAAAAAAAAAGGCACAGAGUGGCAAGCUGGAUAAAAAAAGUAAGACCCAAUGGUAUGCUGUCUUCAAGAGACCCAUCUCACAUGUAAUGACACUCAUGGGCUCAAAAUAUUAAUAAAGGGAUGAAGAAAAAUCUACCAAGGAAACAGAAAACAUAAAAAAGCAGGGUUUACAAUCCUGAUUUCAGACAAAACAGAUUUCAAACCAACAAAGAUCAAAAAAGACAAGCAAGUGCAUUACAUAAUGGUAAAGGGUUCAAUUCAACAAGAAGACCUAAUUAUCCUAAAUAUAUAUGCCCCCAAUGCAGGAGCACCCAGAUUCAUAAAGCAAGUUC